rnacentral:lncRNA from 1 species
CUUUGUAACAAGAAGAAUUCCAUUGCACUUUUGCUGCCUAUAUUAAGGAAACAGUGUUUUAGGAGUGACAAAAGAAAACAAAUAAGAGAAAAGUAAAUCGCGUAGUAUGGGAUACUGUGAUUGUCUGGUUGCUCCAUGUGACAUAUCUCAUCGCCUCUACACCACUUUGGGCCUUUGGCAUUAAAGUCUCCUACUUUGCUUCCCUUUCCCUUUUCACACUAACACACAAUCAAAGACCUUACAUAUUUCUAUCACCCCCUUAAUUAUUCUCCUCUCCCCUCUCCCCUCUCCCCUCUCCCAAUGGCCACACACUUUUUUAAUCAUCUUGUCUAAAAUUCAGAUCUAACUGAGGCUUUAAAUUUGGAAAGAAGCCUCGUUAGAUUAGAAACAAGAGUCAUUGAUUUCAGUACAUAUGGCUCCACUUCCACAUUCCUGCAGCUUUACUAAGGUACUUUUAGUACUCUCUCUUGUUUUUGUGUUAUUCACUCUUUCAUUCUUUUCUGCAUAUAGUGAGGUCCAACCCCAAAAUAAUGUUAGAAGCAGAAGAAUGUUGGAACUAGAAAAUGAGUCAAAGCCAAUUAAGAAGAAAACAAAUCCAACUUCACUUUCAGCUUCCAAGAACCAAA